CCUACGGGAGGUAGCAGUGAGGAAUAUUGGUCAAUGGACGAGAGUCUGAACCAGCCAAGUAGCGUGAAGGAUGACUGCCCUAUGGGUUGUAAACUUCUUUUAUAUGGGAAUAAAAUGUUCCACGUGUGGGAUUUUGUAUGUACCAUAUGAAUAAGGAUCGGCUAACUCCGUGCCAGCAGCCGCGGUAAUACGGAGGAUCCGAGCGUUAUCCGGAUUUAUUGGGUUUAAAGGGAGCGUAGGUGGAUUGUUAAGUCAGUUGUGAAAGUUUGCGGCUCAACCGUAAAAUUGCGGUUGAAACUGGCAGUCUUGAGUACAGGAGAGGUGGGCGGAAUGCGUGGUGUAGCGGUGAAAUGCUUAGAUAUCACGAAGAACUCCGAUUGCGAAGGCAGUUCACUGGACUGCAACUGACACUGAGGCUCGAAAGUGUGGGUAUCAAACAGGAUUAGAUACCCCAGUAGUC
rnacentral:rRNA from 1 species